GACAGAGGGUGCAAACGUUGUUCGGAAUUACUGGGCGUAAAGCGCGUGUAGGCGGCCCUGCAAGUCGGGUGUGAAAUCCCACGGCUCAACCGUGGAAGUGCACUCGAAACUGCAGGGCUAGAGUCCUGGAGAGGAAGGGGAAUGCUUGGUGUAGAGGUGAAAUGCGUAGAUAUCGUAAGGAAGACCAGUGGCGAAGGCGGGUCUCUGGACAGUUCCUGACGCUGAGGCACGAAGGUCAGGGGAGCAAACGGG
rnacentral:rRNA from 1 species